UGAGGGUCUGUGUUGCCUUCGAACCUGUGC
rnacentral:piRNA from 1 species